rnacentral:rRNA from 1 species
UACGUAGGGGGCAAGCGUUGUCCGGAAUUAUUGGGCGUAAAGAGCUCGUAGGCGGCUUGUUGCGUCGGCUGUGAAAACCCGCGGCUUAACUGUGGGCUUGCAGCCGAUACGGGCGGGCUGGAGUUCGGUAGGGGAGACUGGAAUUCCUGGUGUAGCGGUGAAAUGCGCAGAUAUCAGGAGGAACACCGGUGGCGAAGGCGGGUCUCUGGGCCGAUACUGACGCUGAGGAGCGAAAGCGUGGGGAGCGAACAGG